AACGAACGCUGGCGGCAUGCCUAACACAUGCAAGUCGAACGAGACCUUCGGGUCUAGUGGCGCACGGGUGCGUAACGCGUGGGAACCUGCCCUUAGGUUCGGAAUAACUCCCCGAAAGGGGUGCUAAUACCGGAUAAUGUCUUCGGACCAAAGAUUUAUCGCCUUUGGAUGGGCCCGCGUUGGAUUAGCUAGUUGGUAGGGUAAAAGCCUACCAAGGCGACGAUCCAUAGCUGGUCUGAGAGGAUGAUCAGCCACACUGGGACUGAGACACGGCCCAGACUCCUACGGGGGGCAGCAGUGGGGAAUAUUGGACAAUGGGCGAAAGCCUGAUCCAGCAAUGCCGCGUGAGUGAUGAAGGCCUGAGGGUUGUAAAGCUCUUUUACCCGGGAUGAUAAUGACAGUACCGGGAGAAUAAGCUCCGGCUAACUCCG
rnacentral:rRNA from 1 species